rnacentral:tRNA from 1 species
UGCGGGGUAGAGCAGCUUGAUAGCUCGUAAGGCUCAUAACCUUGAGGUCACGGGUUCAAAUCCUGCAUUCACAA